rnacentral:rRNA from 1 species
GUGUCAGCCGCCGCGGUAAGACAGAGGGUGCGAACGUUGCUCGGAAUUACUGGGCGUAAAGCGCGUGUAGGCGGUCUCGCAAGUCCGGUGUGAAAGCCCGGGGCUCAACCCCGGAAGUGCACUGGAUACUACGGGGCUGGAGUCCUGAAGAGGAGAGCGGAAUUCCCGGUGUAGAGGUGAAAUUCGUAGAUAUCGGGAGGAACACCAGUGGCGAAGGCGGCUCUCUGGACAGGAACUGACGCUGAGACGCGAAAGCGUGGGUAGCAAACAGGAUUAGAUACCCGCGUAGUCC